GUCAGUCUAAGAGAAGAAAGUAAAGGGUCUGGUUAAUAGAUUAACAAUUUCAUAAAAAAAACACUGUUAGCAUACUUCAUCCGCAGCGCUGUGGGGAUAGCUAGCUAGGACCUAGGACAGGCAAUGCGAGACUAGCAGCAAGCUAACCUUGUUAUGGUAUCAAGAAACCAAAUGCAAUAACGCAGCGUAAAUAAAAUAGGACACCGUUACUUUUGUGAGACACAUUGCACAUACUAUUGCUUUAGAUUACAUAACAAUUGGUCCAGCCUCUAUUGGCGCUGUCGUUGUCGACCCUUGCAUAUAAAGUUAACGUAAACGAAGCACCUUUUUAGCUCUUGUUAGCAACAGGAUUACCUCCGCGUCGUCUGCAGCCAUAGAGACAACGCCACUACUUCUACGUAAGACGUCAUCCUUGCGUCCUCGGUUGCUGAGCAACCGUAGACUACACGGAUAAGGCUUUAUAUAUAUCUAUGUAUAUGUCAAUGGGAUAAGGGUGUAACGUUACAAAGGAAUGUGUAUGCCUCUAAGCCAAGAUGCCCCGCUCUGCAGCCAAGUCCCAAGCUGAGAAGCAAAGACCCAAGUCGUCUGUCCCAGUGAACACACCUCCAACGCCAGACCUGAAAGUGGAAGAUAUAAUCCCUGGUCGCUUAACACAGGCCCAAUGGACAGACAUGUUGAUCCGGGAGGAUGCAGAUGAGGCUGUGGCGGUGAUCAUAGAGGACGUGUUGAGCAAGGUCAUGGAACGCUGUCUUAGAUUAAAAAUUAAAAGACAGCUAGUACCUUUCUCUGCAUCCUGGGCCAAGAGAUACCUCUACACA